rnacentral:snoRNA from 1 species
UGUGUUAAUGAUGACUUUAACUUACCUACAUUGCUUGAUUUUUCUAUGAGAAUUAAUCAGAAUCUGAUAACUCA